rnacentral:rRNA from 1 species
GACGAACGCUGGCGGCGUGCUUAACACAUGCCAGUCGAACGGAAAGGCCCUGCUUUUGUGGGGUGCUCGAGUGGCGAACGGGUGAGUAACACGUGAGUAACCUGCCCUUGACUUUGGGAUAACUUCAGGAAACUGGGGCUAAUACCGGAUAGGAGCUCCUGCUGCAUGGUGGGGGUCGGAAAGUUUCGGCGGUUGGGGAUGGACUCGCGGCUUAUCAGCUUGUUGGUGGGGUAGUGGCUUACCAAGGCUUUGACGGGUAGCCGGCCUGAGAGGGUGACCGGCCACAUUGGGACUGAGAUACGGCCCAGACUCCUACGGGAGGCAGCAGUGGGGAAUAUUGCACAAUGGGCGGAAGCCUGAUGCAGCAACGCCGCGUGCGGGAUGACGGCCUUCGGGUUGUAAACCGCCUUCGCCUGUGACGAAGCGUGAGUGACGGUAAUGGGUAAAGAAGCACCGGCUAACUACGUG